rnacentral:rRNA from 1 species
CCCCUAGAUGUCCUGGGCCGCACGCGCAAUACAAUGUAAAGUUCAGAAAGCAUAUCCUGUUCCGGAAGGCAAUGGGUAAUCUUUUCAAUAUUUUACGUGUUAGGGAUCGAUCUUUGCAAUUAUAGAUCUUGAACGAGGAAUACCUAGUAAGUGCAGCUCAUCAGGCUGUACUGAUUACGUCCCUGCCCUUUGUACACACCGCCCGUCGCUCCUACCGAUUUCGAGUGGUCCGGUGAAUCUUUUGGAAUUAGAGUGCGAACUCAAACUAAGAUCGAUAAACCUUAUCACUUAGAGGAAGGAGAAGUCGUAACA